AUUUUUUUUUUGCAGGAUUUAACCCAGGCUGGACCCCUUAAGAGAAACAAUUAUGAUCAUCCAGAUAACAAUUUUCUCUGCAAUUUUUAAAGUAAAUGAAGCAGUUAAAGGAUAUGACUGAAUCUGCAACACAAAAUAUUACGACAUUUUCGCUACUCGACUCUGAAGAAUGCGAUUUUCACACCACGCAAGUAAACUCAUCAAGCAUCGCCAUAGAGCUUGUAUAAAUAGCGGAAUUUAGAACGGUACCGAUUAUUCAAUGUUAAAUCAAGAUUCAUCAAACAAUUUUUGAUUGUGGCAUAUUUGGGCACCUUAUACCAACAGAUAAUGCCGAACAACAAUACAUCGUGUAGAUAAGAUAAGAUAAGCGACGAACAAUGUGAAACUAUUCAUAAGACAGGUAUUUUUAAAUACGACAAUAUGCUUACUAUGUCAAAUUUAAAAAUAAAUACAACAACAACUAAAGGCGUAGAUUUCGCGAAAAGUGCAGAGAACAAAUCUUGUUCAGGCCCUUCUUACGCGGAUAAUUUUGUUUCUUGGAAUGAAGUGUUUGUUUAUAGCUUAUUUAAAAUCACAUUAAUAGAAAAUACAGCUAGAGUAAAUUUAAAUAAUGACAAUUAAUUGCUAAGCUCAGGAGUAGUAUGUAAAUUUUCGGAUAAAAAUUGUAUGGAUAUCGAAGGCGGUCAUACUUUUUGGGACGUUUUGCCCACGGGCAAAUGCUUUAUAAAUGCAUGUGACAUUUUAUUUAAGGGUAUUGCUAGUAAAUUGUCACAUCAGCCUACCAUUACCUAGACUGGCCGGUCAAAGCAAACACUAAUAUCACGUCGAACUGACAAGCAACCAUACCACGGUAACUAAGGCUGUUUACCUGGAACGGCGGGCAUAGCAGGCGCCGGCAAACCAACGACGGUCGGCAACGCAGAAUGCGACACGACCAGCCAGCUGCUGACACGUGUGGCCACAGAAGAAAGGGCGACGAUCCUGAAUAACCAGCUCAAACAAGGGGGAGACUCCCUGGUGAUGCCAGACAAUAAGAAAGCCAUAAAUUACUGACAACCAGACCCAAAUAAAUGGUAAUCGAUUCGACAAUGAGGGAAAUUACAACAAAGAAAACCAUUCCAGAUGGCCAGGCUGUGGCAACGUACUGAGGGGCGUUGAUUAAUAAAGGGGAGCUCACCCCCGCUGAGACACGCACCCUCCCAAAUUCCUGAUUGGCUAGAACCUUCCCUAUGCUUAUGCAUUACCCUCAUCUCUAUAAAUACCAAUGGAGAGCCAGGAGGAGUAUCUUUUGGAUUCCGGAGUUCUUACUGGUAGGGCGAAGCUCUGCCCAACUCGCGACUAAGACUAUUUUUCGGUAAUUGGACUUAGACUCAGAGCGUUCGCCUAGUUUUCGGACUUAGUCGUAUUUCCACUUCCGACACAAGUAGUACUCAGUCAAGGUUCUUUCGCUUGUACAAUUUUUACUCUAAUAAGUUGAAUAAAUCAUUACUUUAAAUAUCUAAA